rnacentral:rRNA from 1 species
GAUGAACGCUGGCGGCGUGCCUAAUACAUGCAAGUCGAGCGAACAGACGAGGAGCUUGCUCCUCUGACGUUAGCGGCGGACGGGUGAGUAACACGUGGAUAACCUACCUAUAAGACUGGGAUAACUUCGGGAAACCGGAGCUAAUACCGGAUAAUAUAUUGAACCGCAUGGUUCAAUAGUGAAAGACGGUUUUGCUGUCACUUAUAGAUGGAUCCGCGCCGCAUUAGCUAGUUGGUAAGGUAACGGCUUACCAAGGCAACGAUGCGUAGCCGACCUGAGAGGGUGAUCGGCCACACUGGAACUGAGACCCGGUCCAGACUCCUACGGGAGGCAGCAGUAGGGAAUCUUCCGCAAUGGGCGAAAGCCUGACGGAGCAACGCCGCGUGAGUGAUGAAGGUCUUCGGAUCGUAAAACUCUGUUAUUAGGGAAGAACAAAUGUGUAAGUAACUAUGCACGUCUUGACGGUACCUAAUCAGAAAGCCACGGCUAACUACGU